rnacentral:rRNA from 1 species
CGGCUUAAGUUUGAUCCUGGCUCAGAUUGAACGCUGGCGGCAGGCCUAACACAUGCAAGUCGAGCGGUAGGGAAGCUUGCUUCUCACGAGCGGCGGACGGGUGAGUAAUGUAUGGGGAUCUGCCCGAUAGAGGGGGAUAACUACUGGAAACGGUAGCUAAUACCGCAUAAUCUCUAAGGAGCAAAGCAGUUCGUUGCGCUAUCGGA